GCCAUGGAUUUGAGGUUAUAAGUUAAAGAGUACGCCUUUAUAAUCCUUCUUAAAUGGCACAACAUUAGCUAAAUCUGCUGUCAUAAUUCUUUGCAAUCUUCAGCUACUUUGGGUGGUUCUAAUUGGAUUAGUCUUUGAUCUGAUCAUAAUCCAGUCUCUUGCUGCAAGUCUUGGAGUCAGCACUGGCAAACACUUCUCAGAAUUGUGCAAGGCCGAGUACCACCACUGGUGAAAUAUUGCUUAUGGUUACUCGCAGAGGUUGCUGUCAUAGCUGCUGAUAUACCUGAAGGUUUCUUUUUAUUUAAGUCAUCAUUUGCAACAUA